AUGGGAUUCAAGGACUGCAGACUAUUCAACCAAGCAAUGUUGGCUCGGCAAGCUUGGCGUAUUUUUGUCAACCCCGAAUGUCUUUGCGCGCGCGUCUUGAAGGCAAGGUAUUUCCCUAAUGGACGACUAGAAGAUAUUGUUUUCACUAGCAAUGCAUCGCAAACUUGGCAGUCCAUUGUGCAUGGGUUGGAAUUGCUGAAGAAAGGCUUAGUCUGGCGCAUCGGUAACGGGUAGUCGGUCAAAAUUUGGCGGGACUCUGUUGGUCGGCCACCAAUCACGCAAAAGGGGAGGUGCCGGCUCCGCCGAGUGUCAGAACUCUUGGACGAGCAUGGUGCAUGGCGCGGAACCCUACUCCAAUAGUAUUUUAUGCACGUUGAUAUCUAGGAGAUACUGAAGAUUAAAGCGUCCCCUCGGUUGGGGGCAGAUUUCCUUGCUUGGGGUGCAGAACGUAUUGGUAUCUUCACCGUACGUAGCACGUACUGGCUGGCGCUUGAGGACAAGCUUCGUCCUUCUUCAGUCGCAGCGAGCAGGGCACCGUACGUGCGACGUGUUGUCUGGGCAUUAUUAUGGAGGUGCCUUGCUCCUCCUAAGGUGCGUGUGUUUUCAUGGCGUUUGGCUACUGACUCCCUUGCCACAUGGUCUAAUAAACUCACUUGACCCAUGGAGGUUACUGAUAUAUGCCCAUUAUGUGGUCUCGAGCGCGAGGACACUUUUCAUGUGUUUUGUAGGUGCCCACAGGCUGUGCACUUAUGGCGAACUAUGGCGGAGGUGUGGAGUAUACCGGACAUCGAGUCGGUCCGUAACACCGGUCCAGAGUGGUUCCUGAACCUUAUUGCAGAAUGCAAUGAAGGGGACCGGCUGCGUCUGAUUAUGUUGUUGUGGAGAUGUUGGCAUGUUCGUAAUGAGAUCACUCAUGACAAACCAUCGCCGCCCGUGGAGGUAUCUCGCCGCUUUUUGCAGAGCUAUGUGACCUCAUUGCUCGGGAUUGAGCAGUAUCUACAGGGUGACUGGGACAAAGGGAAGAUGACCAUCCAGCAGGAAGGUGCAGAACAGCCUAUACCGCAUGUGGGAGAGGUGACACGAACAGUCCGCAAAUGGAGUCCCCCGUCUGCCAACUGGACGAAGCUGAAUGUGGAUGGUUCCUUCUCCCAUGAGGACGGAAGGGCCGGGGCGGGAAUGGUGCUCCGCGACCAGGAAGAGGGCAUCAUCUUCUCUGCGUGUCGCUCACUAUGGUCAUGCCCGGACCCUCUACAUGCUGAGUUGGCUGGGUGCAUGGAGGGCAUAGCAUUAGCCCUGCAAUGGACCGAGCUGACAUUCAUCGUCGAGAGCGAUAGUUUGCAGGCAGUGCAGCUGAUCAAUGCCCCAAGCCAAGACCGCUCGCAGUACGCCAUGGUGGUUUCGGAAGUGAAGCGUCUUAUGAGUGAAAGGGAGUGUCGUUUUGUUCAUGUUUCUCGAGAGCAGAAUAAUGUAAGCCAUGUGUUGGCUAACUUUGAGAGAACGGAAGACCGUACUGUUGUCUGGCUCCGCUCCGGCCCGAACAAUAUCCCUAGCUUGUGUAGGGAGGACCUUCUUGGCUCUUGA
rnacentral:rRNA from 1 species